UCACAUUUCUCACUUGCUCAUGACAAGAAUGGAGCCGGCCAAUUUUUGUGUGCAUGCCAAUUUCGGCCAGCACUACCUCCUCUUUUCCUUCUUAUACAAGCCAUGCCUCCCACCUAACCCAAUCACUAAAUGGGCAGCCACCCACCAUAGCCAAUCAAAGAAGGAGGCAGCCACCAUCCUCCCUCUAUUUAAAGAGCUUGGCCGGCCACCACCUCCACCUUUGGCCUCAUUUUUCUUCUCUCCACUCCCUCACACUCUCCUCCUACCUCUCCCCACGAGCUGCUGCUCCUCCUAAGCUCGAUGGCCGGCCAUGGCCAUGAAAACCAGCCAAGAUGAAGCUCCCCUUCUUCCUCAAGCUCAUCCUCACCAUGAGAGCAUCUCUCUCACUCUCUUCUCCCCCAACCCUAGCUGGUUUCCUCUCCUUUUCUUCUUCCUCCAUUGCUAAGAUUGGAUCUUGAUGCAGGUGCAUGUUGGUCCAAGCAUGGAGGAGGUUGAGCAAUCCUCAGAUCUGAAGUUCUUGAGCAAAAUCCAAAUCGAGUGAUUCAAAGUUCCACAGAUAGGUAUUGAAAAGAUCUACAACUUGGCGUUGGUCUCAUCCUCAAAUACGUUACGGAUUUUGCACGAUCAAGAUCUGGUCAGAUCUGACUUUGUCGAAUUAAACCAGGAGCUUGGAAACGAAUUUUUGAAUGAAACCAGUUGGGGGAUGUUUGGUUUAUACCAUGGUGAUAACCGAGAGAGGCAAUUGCUAAGUCAUGGCACUCUCAUACCUUCACUAGAUGCGAACAAUUCCGGAGAAGAAGAAGUGGAAUCGGACGAGGAUUUUAUUUAUAUAUGUUGUUGGGAUUCUUAUAUUGAUGGAGUUGAUGAAGUACAGGGACAAAUAA